rnacentral:rRNA from 1 species
UACGUAGGGCGCAAGCGUUUAUCCGGAAUUAUUGGGCGUAAAGGGCUCGUAGGCGGUUCGUCGCGUCGGGAGUGAAAACCCAGGGCUUAACCCUGGGCUGGCUUCCGAUACGGGCAGACUAGAGGUAUGCAGGGGAGAACGGAAUUCCUGGUGUAGCGGUGAAAUGCGCAGAUAUCAGGAGGAACACCGGUGGCGAAGGCGGAUCUCUGGGCCUUACCUGACGCUCAGGCGCGAAAGCUAGGGGAGCGAACAGG